rnacentral:lncRNA from 1 species
UUAUUCGCUGACAUUUGUUUUCCAAUUGCGUGAAAUUUGGUCAUUUCCUUAGUGUUUCGCUGACCGACCUGUGCUGGUAUUGUGAUUAAGGGCUAAUACACAUUUUUCGGACGAUUCUGCUGUGCUGCGUUCCUGCUCCGCCUGUAUAUUGCUCCGCCCGUAUUUUAUAGUGUUGCGUUCCUGUUGCGCCUUUGCAUUAGUGUGUGCGUUGUGAUUUAGACACGUUGAAAUUUUUUGUAUGCUUCUGCUGUGCUGCGUUCCUGCUCCACCCGUGUAUUAGAUUGCUGCGUUCCUGUUAACAUACAUAUCGUCGCUUAAAGUACAAAACCGCGUAACUGACAUUUGCUGCUAAAAAUUGGAUUCGCUCACACACGUUUUUGGAUCAAUCCUUAUCCAUUCUUCCUGAAAUAUACUAGCCAAAAAUGCGAUUGCUUUUUACAAAAAGAUAACCAUUUUGAAAUAUGAGUGUUUUUACUCUCUAGAAAUUAAUUUAUGCAACCUCGCAUACGUGGGUUUGCAUUAUCUCUAUACGCGGUUUUGCAAUUUAUUGAUACAUGGUUUUGUACUUUAAACGACGAUAUGUA